rnacentral:rRNA from 1 species
AACGAACGCUGGCGGCGCGCCUAAUACAUGCAAGUCGAGCGAGAAGACGUAGCAAUACGUUUGUAAAGCGGCGAACGGGUGAGGAAUACAUGGGUAACCUACCCUCGAGUGGGGAAUAACUAGCCGAAAGGUUAGCUAAUACCGCGUACGCUCCUUGGACUUCGGUUCAGGGAGGAAAGCGAUACCGUGGGUAUCGCGCUCUUGGAUGGGCUCAUGUCCUAUCAGCUUGUUGGUGAGGUAACGGCUCACCAAGGCUUCGACGGGUAGCUGGUCUGAGAGGACGGUCAGCCACACUGGCACUGCGACACGGGCCAGACUCCUACGGGAGGCAGCAGUAAGGAAUAUUGCGCAAGUGGGCGAAAGCCUGACGCAGCGACGCCGCGGUGGGGGAGU